GAUGAACGCUGGCGGCGUGCUUAACACAUGCAAGUCGAACGGAAAGGCCUUGCUUUUGUGGGGUGCUCGAGUGGCGAACGGGUGAGUAACACGUGAGUAACCUGCCCUUGACUUUGGGAUAACUUCAGGAAACUGGGGCUAAUACCGGAUAGGAGCUCCUGCUGCAUGGUGGGGGUUGGAAAGUUUCGGCGGUUGGGGAUGGACUCGCGGCUUAUCAGCUUGUUGGUGGGGUAGUGGCUUACCAAGGCUUUGACGGGUAGCCGGCCUGGGAGGGUGACCGGCCACAGUGGGACUGAGAUACGGCCCAGACUCCAACGGGAGGCAGCAGUGGGGAGUAUUGCACAGUGAGCGGAAGCCUGAGGCAGCAACGCCGCGUGCGGGAUGACGGCCUUCGGGUUGUAAACCGCUUUCGCCUGUGACGAUGCGUGAGUGACGGUAAUGGGUAAAGAAGCACCGGCUAACUACGUG
rnacentral:rRNA from 1 species